rnacentral:rRNA from 1 species
UACGAAGGGGGCUAGCGUUGCUCGGAAUUACUGGGCGUAAAGCGCACGUAGGCGGCUUUCUAAGUCGGGGGUGAAAUCCUGGAGCUCAACUCCAGAACUGCCUUCGAUACUGGAGAGCUCGAGUCCGGAAGAGGUGAGUGGAACUCCGAGUGUAGAGGUGAAAUUCGUAGAUAUUCGGAAGAACACCAGUGGCGAAGGCGGCUCACUGGUCCGGUACUGACGCUGAGGUGCGAAAGCGUGGGGAGCAAACAGG